rnacentral:misc_RNA from 1 species
UCGGGUUACCGCUCUACAACCCUUUGUGAACAUACCUAACUGUUGCCUCGGCGGGCAGGGGGUCCCCCCGGGGACGCCCUCCCGGCCCCGCCCCCCUACCAGGGGACGUGGCGCCCGCCGGAGGAUACCCAACUCUAUUUUAACGACGUUUCUUCUGAGUGGCACAAGCAAAUAAUUA